GGGGGCGGUGGUGGAUUCACAGAACUUCGCGGAAGGUGCAGACGAUGAAGACGAUCUGCUCCACCAUUACAAAGAAACGUAAUGUCAUUAUUCUUUCAGCGGUUGCAGAAGAACCCUAGGCGUGAUGAUGCUUCCUUCUCUUCUUUGCCGAAGAUAUCUGCAAGUUGCAUGAUGGAUGGCAUCAACCAUCUCGAUGCAUUGGAUGCCAACUUCCUUAGCAACAGCUGAAGCUUAUCACUUUGCAGAUGUCAUGGUGCAGACCAUUUCAGCUAACUGGUCGGUGCCGGUGAGGUCCCUCAAACCUGAAUGGAAUAAAUAGGCAGUGGAAUCGUCUUCUUCACCGUCAAACCUGAAUGGCUUGGACUGGUGUGGUGGUAGUAGGAGAUCAAGUGAGGGGGAGAGGAGGUCAGAUGUCCUUGUUGUGGACUGAGUACUUGUGCUGUCUCGACUUGGAGGUGGCAAACAUCAAUACCAACAUGAAGAAUGCAGAAAUGUCAAUGGAAAUUAAA
rnacentral:lncRNA from 1 species